CGAACUUUUAUCAUAGGGACACAAACUAAGGGCUUACUCUGGCUACAACAAAAAAUAAAUUAUUUUAAAAAUAUUCAACGAGUGUAGAACAACCUAUUGCCAGAAGUGCAAGUGAUCCACUGGCUUGAAAAUAAUGGCAUUGAUGACUAAGACUGGACUAACACAGUGGUUGUUGCUGGCACUACUUUGUGCUAACACACUCCAUUUCGUUUCUGGGAAAGCGCUCGUCAGAAAGACUGGAGGAAGUCCAUCGUCUCAGAGAGACUCGCCCCGUCUCAAGCCUCACAAGUCAUUCCUCCGCCACCUUUAUUUCUCUCUUCAACAUGGCGCUGUGCUAAACUUGGAAGAGAAACUGAAUCACAUCACCCAGAAAAGCGAACCACAGCGACUUCCCUUGCACCGACAGACACGUCAGCUGUCUGCAGAUUCUUUCCAUUUUAAUACUAAAAAUCUGAGGUGGUUCAAUAGUCUCUUUCCUUUGCUUAAUACCCCGCCUGCAGAACCCGAACCUAAUCCGACACCGGAGCUAGGUUACCCCUGCUGCUUUCCUGCUUGAAAUGCAGGGGAGAAUCAUGUGUGCUUAGCACGUGUGUAAUACCUGACUAUACGGCAAACAACAAAAGGAAAAUGAAUUUUAAAAGAGAAAAUAGAUGUUACAAGCAUAGAAAAACAACAUAAUAAAAAUGUUAAUUUCUACAGCACGUCUCCCCUCCAUCAAAGCGCUUUACGAAAACAACAAACAUAGCAAUAACAACAAUUAAAUAUCUGCUAAAAAGUGCAUGCAUGUCUGUUCUAGAACUGAAAAAGUAUAUGAGCAAUCACGAACCAGUCUAGAACGAAUGUUAGCACGUGAUCUAGCAGCAACGGCGACAAAGUUGACAUAGAGGAACAUAUAGUUGUCCAGUUUUGCAAUAUUGUAGAUGAAACAUAGAGGGUUAGUCUAGCAGACGGUUGAUAUGUUUUUUAAAAAAUCAGCAAGGGAGAUGAUCCGUAGAGCAGACAAUGUGAACAGCUACUGUAAAGGGGAGAGAAUUAAAAGCGGGGGAAAAAAUAAUGUCAGGCGAACAGAACUGUGUACAUGAAUGCUCAAACAAUAAUUAAGAAAUAUGACAUACCGGAUGGAAUAACAUUUGUGAAGCAUA